rnacentral:lncRNA from 1 species
CCUUACGAGCCCAAUAAUAAUGCAGUGGAGGAGGACCAUUUGAUUAUUAGUUCAGGUGAAGUGGUCAAACAGAGAUAUAAUAUAAUAUUUCGUCUUUAGGUUCAUCAGAUCCAAGUAAUAAUAAUCCAUUUACAUCAUAUGCAUGUCUCCAUCUAUUUCUUCAUAGAUUUUCAAUUUUCAUUCCAGUUCUGUUCAUCAUUAGCUAUUACAUUACAUUUUUUCUCAUGUUUAUGAUUUUAACUGAGUAUAAUGAACAGGAGUGGUGUGUAUGGUGGGAAGAUUCAAGUGGUUUCACUCUUUUUUCUUAUAUGUUUGAAUAUUAGCAAAAUGAGGGCAUGUUUGUUGGCUUCAACUGUGUUGGAUUAUGCUUGCAGACUGUCAUACAUGCAUCUAUACUGAUAAGAUGCAUAUAAGUUUAUAUAUAUAUAUAUGGCAUGAUAUGUGAUGCAUGCAUCUUAUAUAUAACCUUUUGGUUUGUUGGAGUAAACUUGUUGAUGUCUUUUAGAUUUUCUAAAAUAGCUCUUAAUCCUAUAUAUUUAUGCAGGUUCUUCACUUUUUCUCCUUUACCACUCUCCAAUAAUGGUGGAACCCAAAUGCAACGAAAGGUUAAGAAAUAAAGCAAAAGGUUAUAAGUUUCAAAAAGACAUAUACGAACCUGCCCAAAAUGGAGACAAAAUUAAAGGAGAAAAUGAAAACAAGAAAGGAAAGUGUUUUUCAUCUCUUUUUCCUUUUAAGUGUAUCAACUUUUAAUUGUAUUUUUUGCCUCAAAGUGAUGAAACUUCUAGUGUAUGAAACCAGAAAUAAAUAUGUAUUGUUUCAGGAAUAAAAGUAUUUUUAAAUUUUGUUUCAUUUCUGAUAUAAACAUGCACUAACUCGAAAUUCA